rnacentral:tRNA from 1 species
GCGGACGUGAUGAAAUCGGUAAACAUAGCAGACUUAAAAUCUGCCGGCCCUAAAGGCCUUGCGGGUUCAAGUCCCGCCGUCCGCACCA